CCCGCUGAACUUAAGCAUAUCAAUAAGCGGAGGAAAAGAAACUAACAAGGAUUCCCCUAGUAACUGCGAGUGAAGCGGGAAAAGCUCAAAUUUAAAAUCUGGCGGUCUUUCGGCCGUCCGAGUUGUAAUCUGGAGAAGCGUUUAUGCGGGUUGGACCGUGUACAAGUCUUCUGGAAGGGAGCGUCAUAGAGGGUGAGAAUCCCGUCUUUGACACGGACUACCAAUGCUUUUGUGAUGCGCUCUCGAAGAGUCGAGUUGUUUGGGAAUGCAGCUCAAAAUGGGUGGUAAAUUCCAUCUAAAGCUAAAUAUUGGCGAGAGACCGAUAGCGAACAAGUACCGUGAGGGAAAGAUGAAAAGCACUUUGGAAAGAGAGUUAAACAGUACGUGAAAUUGUUGAAAGGGAAACGUUUGAAGUCAGUCGCGUCGGCCGAGACUCAGCCUUGCUUCCGCUCGGUGCACUUCUCGGUUGACGGGUCAGCAUCAAUUUCGACCGCCGGAUAAAGGUUGAGGGAACGUGACAUCUUUCGAGGUGUGUUAUAGCCCUCGAUUCGCAUACGGCGAUUGGGAUUGAGGAACUCAGCGCGCCUUUAUGGUCGGGGUAGCAACCCACGUAACGCGCUCAGGAUGCUGGCAUAAUGGCUUUAAGGCGACCCGUCUUGAAACACGG
rnacentral:rRNA from 1 species